rnacentral:rRNA from 1 species
ACACGUAGGAGGCAAGCGUUAUCCGGAUUUACUGGGCGUAAAGCGCGUGCAGGUGGUUCGGUAAGUUGGAUGUGAAAGCUCCCGGCUCAACUGGGAGAGGUCGUUCAAUACUACUGGACUUGAGAGCAGUGGAGGGAGGUGGAAUUCCCGGUGUAGUGGUGAAAUGCGUAGAUAUCGGGAGGAACACCAGUGGCGAAAGCGGCCUCCUGGACUGUUUCUGACACUCAGACGCGAAAGCUAAGGUAGCAAACGGGAUUAGAGACCCCGGUAGUCUUAGCUGUAAACGAUGUGAACUUGGCGUCGGCGGGUUCAAAGCCGUCGGUGCCGAAGCUAACGCGAUAAGUUCACCGCCUGGGGACUACGGCCGCAAGGUUAAAACUCAAAUGAAUUGACGGGG